rnacentral:lncRNA from 1 species
CAAAGGUUGCAGGCAGCUUUACCUGCAGCAAUUGCAUGUUGAUUGCCCUCUUAAAAGACAAAGUCCAGCAACUGGAGGAACGUGUAGCUACGCUCCAAAGAAUUAGAGAGCUGGAGCUCUUCUUGGAAGCAACAGAGCACACCGUCUCCACCAAGGAGGAGACAGGGGACUCCCCUGAGAAGGACGCUAGUUCACCAACACAGGAGCCAGAUAUAUGGAGAAACGUGACUCAAAGAAGUAGGAGGCCCAGGGUUCGCUCUAAUUGUUUAGAAAUACACAAUCGCUUUGAGGUCCUCUCCCCUAGCAUGGAAGACGAAGAGCAGACUCCAUUUGAGGAUCUCUCCCUCAUUACAGUCGAUCAGGUAAAUGAAGACGAGCAGCAAAGUCAGUCCUCAGGGAAUGUGCAGGCGACCUUGGAGCGGACAGCUCACGGAAGAACCCCGACCAAACCUAAGAGGAGGCGUGUAGUGGUGAUAGGGGAUUCCCUACUGAGGGGAACAGAAGCAGUGAUCUGUGGGCCUGACAAGAUGUCUCGGGAAGUGUGCUGUCUCCCGGGGCUAAGAUCCAAGAUGUAACUGAACGACUGCAAGGAAUCAUAAAACCCACUGACAAAUACCCCUUCCUCUUGGUUCAUGUGGGAACCAAUGACACUGCAAGCAAUAGCCUCCAGAAGAUCAAAAGAGACUACGAGGCUCUGGGCAGGAAAUUGAAGCAAUUAAAUGCACAAAUUGUGAUCUCAUCUGUCCUCCCAGUUGAACGACGUGGCCCAGGGAGAGAGGGGAAAAUAGUGGAAGUAAACAGCUGGCUUCGCAAAUGGUGUAAACAGGAACGGUUUGGAUUCUUAGAUCACGGACUGCAGUUUCUUGAAGAUGGACUUCUGGCAAGCGAUGGGCUGCACCUCACAACGUAUGGGAGAAAUGUUUUUGCCAAAAAUCUCAGAAACCUCAUCAGGAGGGCUUUAAACUGACUAAUGUGGGGAGGGAGACAGUGCUCCUGAAGGUAGGAGUCUAUCAAUUGAUGAAGAUGAUCAUCCAAAUGUCAUAGACCAAAUGGAGCAAACAGCACACAGACCUAGUGGUGGGAGGAAAAAUCCUUAAAUAAGAGUCACGGGGAAUGAUUAAUGGACUUCAAUGUCUGUACACUAAUGCGCAAAGCAUGGGAAAUAAACAAGAUGAGCUUGAGCUCUUGGUACAGCAAACUAAAUAUGACAUAAUAGGCAUCACUGAAACCUGGUGGGAUAAGUCCCACGAUUGGAAUGUAAUAAUGGGGGAUACAAUCUAUUUCAGAGAAACAGACCAGACAAGAAAGGAGGAGGAGUGGCGUUAUAUGUCAGGGAUGUGUAUACCUGUGAAGAGAUCCAAGAUUUAGAACCUCAAAGCCAAAGUGAGAGCAUUUGGGUCAAAAUUAAGGGAGAGAAGAAUAACAGUGACCUCAUUGUGGGAGUUUACUAUAGAUCCCCAAGCCAAACGGAGGACAUAGAUGAUGCCUUCCUGGAACAGAUGGCCAAGCAUGCAAAAGGAAGGGAGAUAGUAGUAAUGGGGGACUUCAAUUACCCGGAUAUUUGUUGGAUGUCAAACUCAGCCAAGAGCAUAAGGUCAAACAGAUUCCUCACUGGCCUUGCAGACAACUUCAUUGUCCAGAAAGUGGGAGAAGCAACAAGAGGAACAGCCAUUUUAGAUCUGGUCCUAACCAAUGUUGAUGACCUGGUUAGUGGGGUAGAAGUGGAAGGAUCAUUAGGUGCGAGUGAUCAUGCUCUUCUGAAGUUUACUAUACAGCGGAAAGGAGCAGCCAAGCAUACUAGGACUCAAUUUCUUGACUUUAAGAAAGCUGACUUCAUAAAACUUAGGGAAGUGCUGGGUGAGAUCCCAUGGACAGUAAUACUAAAAGGAAAGGGAGUUCAUGAUGGCUGGGAGUUUGUUAAGAGGGAGAUAGUAAAAGCACAACGUCAGGCAAUACCAAUGAGACAGAAACAUGGAAGGUGCCUAAAGAAGCCAGGGUGGCUAUCUAAAGAACUUUUAACUGAGUUAAGAUUAAAAAGGAUGUGUACAAAAAUGGAAAGGGGGGAAACCACCAAAGAGGAAUUCAAACAAAUAGCCAGCACGUGUAGACACAAAGUCAGAAAAGCUAAAGCACAGAAUGAACUCAGGCUUGCUAGAGAGGUUAAAAGCAACAAAAAAGGCUUUUAUGGGUAUGUCCGUAGCAAAAGGAAGAACAAAGAAACAGUGGGGUCACUCAGAGGAGAAGAUGGUGAAAUGCAAACAGGGGACACAGAAAGAGCUGAACUCCUCAAUGCCUUCUUUGCCUCAGUCUUCUCCGAUAAAGAAAACAAUGCCCGACCUGAAGAAUUUGGAGCAAAUGAUUCAGCAAAGGAAACACAGCCCAGAAUAACUAAGGAGAUAGUAGAAGAAUACUUGGCUAGUUUAGAUGUAUUCAAGUCUCCAGGGCCAGACGAACUGCAUCCAAGAGUAUUAAAAGAACUGGCAGAUGUGAUCUCAGAACCACUGGCAGUCAUCUUUGAGAAUUCCUGGAGAACAGGCGAAGUCCCGGCAGACUGGAGGAGGGCAAAUGUUGUCCCUAUUUUCAAAAAGGGGAAAAGAGAGGACCCAAAUAAUUACCGCCCAGUCAGUCUGACAUCAAUACCAGGGAAGAUUCUGGAGCAGAUCAUUAAGCAAACAGUCUGUGAGCACCUAGAAAGGAAUGCUGUGAUCACCAAUAGUCAGCAUGGAUUUCUGAAAAAUAAGUCAUGUCAGACUAACCUGAUCUCGUUUUUUGACAGAAUUACAAGCCUGGUAGAUGAAGGGAACGCAGUGGAUGUAGCCUACCUUGAUUUCAGCAAGGCAUUUGACAAGGUGCCUCAUGAUAUUCUUGUAAAGAAGCUGGUAAAAUGUGGUCUUGACUAUGCUACCACUCAGUGGAUUUGUAACUGGCUGACUGACCGAACCCAAAGGGUGCUCAUCAAUGGUUCCUCUUCAUCCUGGAGAAGAGUGACUAGUGGGGUGCCACAGGGUUCUGUCUUGGGCCCGGUCUUAUUCAACAUCUUUAUCAACGACUUGGAUGAUGGACUCAAGGGCAUCCUGAUCAAAUUUGCAGAUGACACCAAAUUGGGAGGGGUGGCUAACACCCCAGAGGACAGGAUCACACUUCAAAACGACCUUGACAGAUUAGAGAACUGGGCCAAAACAAACAAGAUGAAUUUUAACAGGGAGAAAUGUAAAGUAUUGCACUUGGGCAAAAAAAUGAGAGGCACAAAUACAAGAUGGGGGACACCUGGCUUGAGAGCAGUACAUGUGAAAAGGAUCUAGGAGUCUUGGUUGACCACAAACUUGACAUGAGCCAACAGUGUGACGCGGCAGCUAAAAAGCCAAUGCAAUUCUGGGCUGCAUCAAUAGGAGUAUAGCAUCUAGAUCAAGGGAAGUAAUAGUGCCACUGUAUUCUGCUCUGGUCAGACCUCACCUGGAGUACUGUGUCCAGUUCUGGGCACCACAGUUCAAGAAGGACAUUGACAAACUGGAACGUGUCCAGAGGAGGGCAACCAAAAUGGUCAAAGGCCUGGAAACGAUGCCUUAUGAGGAACGGCUAAGAGAGCUGGGCAUGUUUA